rnacentral:rRNA from 1 species
UACGUAGGGGGCAAGCGUUAUCCGGAUUUACUGGGUGUAAAGGGAGUGUAGGCGGCGAUGUAAGUCAGAAGUGAAAACCCAGGGCUCAACCCUGGGACUGCUUUUGAAACUACAUUGCUAGAGUGCAGGAGAGGUAAGUGGAAUUCCUAGUGUAGCGGUGAAAUGCGUAGAUAUUAGGAGGAACACCAGUGGCGAAGGCGGCUUACUGGACUGUAACUGACGCUGAGGCUCGAAAGCGUGGGGAGCAAACAGG